rnacentral:rRNA from 1 species
UGGGGAAUUUUGCACAAUGGGGGAAACCCUGAUGCAGCGACGCCGCGUGAUUUAGAAGGCCUUCGGGUUGUAAAAAUCUUUUUUACGGGAUGAAAAUGACAGUACCGUAAGAAUAAGGUCCGGCUAAAUACGUGCCAGCAGCCGCGGUAAUGCGUAUGGACCGAGCGUUGUCCGGAAUCAUUGGGCGUAAAGGGUACGUAGGCGGCCUAAUAAGUUAGAAGUGAAAGAAUAUAGCUCAACUAUAUAAAGCUUUUAAAACUGUUAGGCUUGAGAGAUGAAAGGGAAAGUGGAAUUCCUAGUGUAGCGGUGAAAUGCGCAGAUAUUAGGAAGAAUACCGGUGGCGAAGGCGACUUUCUGGUCAUCAUCUGACGCUGAGGUACGAAAGCGUGGGUAGCAAACAGG